GACAUAGGUCGCAAACGUUAUCCGGAAUUAUUGGGCGUAAAGGGCGCGUAGGCGGCUAGAUGUGUCAAAGGUGAAAUCCCUCGGCUCAACUGAGGAACUGCCUUUGAAACUGUCUGGCUUGAGGCCGGGAGAGGGUAGCGGAAUUCCCAGUGUAGCGGUGAAAUGCGUAGAUAUUGGGAGGAACACCAGUGGCGAAGGCGGCUACCUGGACCGGUUCUGACGCUGAGGCGCGAAAGCGUGGGGAGCGAACAGG
rnacentral:rRNA from 1 species